AUUGUCUUCACUCCCAAAUGGUACAGACGUUUCUCCCCGCCUUCUCCUCAGCUAAGUGCUAAGUAAUUUUGCUCCCUGUGAUUCUUUGUAUGUCUCCUUACCUCCUUCUCCUCUGCUUCUCAACAGUGUCUAGCCCACACAACAGCCAGCCAGCCAACCGGACUUUCUCUCGUGCCUUUUUUCUCUGUGUUUUUGGACAUUAAAUUACACCUUUAAUUUGCUAUCUGCCUUUGUGUCUGCUUCUGGGUCCACAAAAUACACCACACGCCACAGAAUACUCAGGCCAGGAAAAUGGACCCAGCAACAUGAGGACAUGCUCCAGGGCCUCAACCAAGCCUUUCAAGGCCUCACCGUUCAAGUAGCGCAACUGGCGGAUCAACUCCUCUCCAGGCUCCCCCCACAGCAAUCUAGGUCUCCCCACUCUGUGAGUACGGCCCCCUCUUUACCCUCUCCUGUCUGCAAAGAGCCUUAUGUCCCUCCUCCUGAGCCGUAUGCUGGGGAGAUUGGGGGCUGCAGAGGUUUCCUGCUCUGCUGUACCCUUGUCUUUGAUCAACAGCUUAUUAGUUACCCAUCAGAUGAAUUCAGAAUAGCCUACACUGUCAAUCUGUUGAGAGGCAAAGCUGCUAAGUGGGCGACUGCCGUUUGGAAAGAAGAUUCACCUAUGUUGUCCUCAAAUGCCAGAUUCACUGAGGAACUUCGCAAAGUCUUUGAUAAUCCUGUCGAGGGACCUUAAUGUACCAAGCGGUUGUUUUCCCUCUACCAGGGCUCUCGGUCUCAAUUGAGUUCUGCACAGUGGCAGCCGAGAGUGGGUGGGGAGAACUUGAGUUAAAGGGUAUAUUUUCUCGUUAUCUGUCCCAACAGCUAAAGGAUGAAUUAGCUGCUCAUGACGAGCCAUCCUUACUUGAGGAGCUAAUUUCUUUAGCUAUACGUUUGGAUAAUCGCCUCAGGGAGAGAGAGAAAAGAAACUAAACACUCCUCCCCAUAGUUUAGAUUCCUCAUCCUCCUGCACUUUCAGCGGGUCUUCUCUGCAGCCCUCAGCUCCUCUGGCUCUGGCGCCCUCAGCUGGAGAACCCAUGCAAAUCAGCCACACCUCCUCUACCUCCAGCUCUCCCAGACGUAUCUCUGUACCUGCCUGUCUCUUGUGGGGGAAGGGAUCCACGUCACUCCAAACCCUUAUUGACUCUGGAGCAAACGACAACUUCAUUCAUGCUGGGUUGGCGGCGCGGCUACAGCUCCCCCUGGAAGCGCUUCCUGCCCCCAUAAGGUCACCGCUCUUGAAGGCAGGGUUAUAGCCACCAUAACCCACUGCACUGCUCCUCUGACCCUCAUCCUUUCGGGAAACCAUCGUGAGGACAUCCGGUUGUUCAUGCUUCCCUCUCCGCAUUCACCCCUCGUGCUUGGACUCCCGUGGCUGCAAAUCCAUAAUCCCCAGAUCAAGUGGUCCACAGCUUCAAUCUCCGCCUGGAGUCCUCACUGCCACUCUCAUUGCCUCUGCUCGGCCCCUUUGCUCAGACACCUGGAUCCCUCUCUCCAGUUCAUGGUGGAGGUCGACGCCUCGGACUCCGGAGUGGGGGCCGUCCUCUUACAGAGGGAUACCGAGACCCAGAAGCUCCAUCCUUGUGCCUACUUCUCCUGGAAAUUCUCACCCACCGAACUAAAGUACAACGUGGGAAACCAUGAGUUGCUGGCUGUUGUGUGGGUACUCCAAAAAUGGAGACACUGGCUGGAAGGAGCGCAACACCCAUUCCUCAUCUGGACUGACCACAAGAACCUUCAGUACCUCUUUUCUGCUCGACGCCUCACUCCAGGCAAGCCCGCUGGUCCCUCUUCCUCUGCAGAUUCACCUUCACCCUCUCCUAUGGUCCUGGCUCCCGCAACCUCAAACCUGACGCCCGAUCCUGGAUCUACUCCUCAGCUACAUCGGACCCCAGCGAACCGGACACCAUCCUCCCUGCCUCCUGUGUCGUCGUCUCUGCCUCUUGGAAAAUCAACACCAUUGUGAACCAGGCCCUCCGGAAACACCCGGACCCUGGAACCGGCUCUCCUGACAGAAAAUUUGUCCCUGAGGUUGCACGUUCCCAGGUCCUACAGGUGGGGCACUCCUCUUGACGCACCUGCCACCCCUGGAUUUCAGCGGACCCUCCAAUUCCUUCAGCAGUGGUUCAGUGGCCGGGAUGGUCCGGGACGUACAGGCGUUUGUUGCUGCCUGCUCCAUCUGUGCCCGAGGUAAAGCCACCCACCAACCUCUGGCUGGCUUGCUGCGUCCCCUGCCUGUGCCCUCACACCCCUUGUCUCACAUAAUUCUAGAUCGCUUCAGUGGUCUCCCCCCUUCUGAAGGUAACACUGUCAUACUCACCAUCAUAGACAGGUUUUCCGAAUUUGUGCAUUAUGUCCCGUUACCCAAGCUCCCCUCUGCUCUAGAAACUGCUAAUCUCCUAGUGUCUCAUGUGUUCCAACUUCAUAGUAUCCCCCUUGACAUAGUGUCAGAUCAUGGUCCCCAGUUCUCCUCCCAGGUCUGGAAAGCUUUCUGCCAGGCAGUGGGCGCAGCAUCUAGCCUCUCCUCGGGCUACCACCAGCAGACCAACGGCCAAACCUCAAGUCAGCUUUGCGGUGUGUUGCGGCCCAUCAUCCAGCAUCCUGGAGUACACACCUCCCAUGGAUCCAGUACGCCCAUAACUCCCUCACCUCCUUGGCCACAGGUAUGUCGCCCUUUACGUGCUGUUUUGGUUACCAGCCCCCCCUGUUUCCCGUACAGGAGCACCCGGUGGCCAUCCCGUCAGUGAGGGAGCACAUUGGGCGCCUACGGGAGGUGUGGAGAUCUGCCAGGGCCCGGCUGAGCGCAACAAACACCUGGUUGAUGUCCAUUGAUGUCUCCCCUGCACCAGACUAUCGUCCCGGUCAGAUGGUCUGGUUAUCGUCCUGUGACCUUCCCCUGCAGACCGAGUCCCGCAAGCUAUCUCCCCGCUUCAUUGGUCCCUUCCUGAUCCACAAGAUUAUUAACCCCUCGGCGGUAAGACACAAACUUCCCUCAUCCCUCAAAAUUCACCCCAUGUUUCAUAUCUCCCUGAUCAAGCCUGUCACCUUGUGCACCCUGAGCCCUUCUUCCAUCGCCCCUCCACCCCCCCGGUUGAUUGACGACCACCCUGCCUUCACUGUGGGACGAAUCCUGGAUGUUCGGCCCCGGAGCCGAGGCUUCCAAUACCUGGUGGAUUGGGAGGGUUACGGGCCAGAGGAGCGGUCCUGGAUCUCCUGCUCCCUCAUCCUGGACCAUCAGCUCCACAACAACUUCAACGCCGUUCACCUCAACAAACCUGGCAGAACACCAAGAGGCGUUCAUUGAGAGGGGGGUGCUGUGGUGAGACGCCUCCUCCUCUUGUUUUAUCUUAGUUGGACUUCCUGUUUUUCUUUGUUUCUUGGCUGAGUGAGACUGAGUGAUUGACUUCACUCCCAAAUGGUACAGACGCUUCUCCUGGCCUUCUCCUCGGCUAAGUGCUAAGUAAUUUUGCUCCCUGUGAUUCCUUGUAUGUCUUCUCACCUCCUUCUCCUCUGCUUCUCAACAGUGGCUCCAGCCCAGCC
rnacentral:lncRNA from 1 species